CAGAUUGAAGAAAAGAAUACAGGACGACGGGCGUGAUGGCCGCCGAUUCGCGCGGCCCUCCUUCUUCUUGCAUGCUCUUCUCCUUAUCGCUCCGGGGCAACGAAUGAUUUCUGAGAGGUGCGCCCUCUUCCUGUCCUCCCUCCUUCUCCAUUUGAUUUGGUCGCCAGGCGUAAGAAGAUUAGCUCACGGUCGUGAAUGUCUUCUGCAUGAGACCUGUUUGUGGAUAUGCCGGCGUACACUACCGUUGAUUGUUGUGAUCGUCGGCUAUCGGAACUGCAAGAUGAGGUCCAUCUGCCUGGAUUGGUUAUCAAGAAGAGCAUCCAUGGGGCCAUGGUGGCUGCCACGAGCAGACAUGCUGGGGUAUCUGGUAAAAAAGAACUAUACAAUUAUACAAUUAAGUUGAUGGCAAUGUUGGGAGUGUUUGGAGCAAUUAUUAAUAUCAUAAAGAUGUCUAACCGUGACUAUCAUUUGACUGCAACUUCAUUGGCAAAUAUGCCUCAGCUUCAUUGGGAAAUAUGUCACACUUCAUUAUUCUUGAGCGAGAAGAACUUCAUUCUAUUAAAUGGAAUUCGUGUGCUGCAAUUAGCGACUGCAACUUCCUUGGCAAAUAGGCCUCCGUGUGACUUGUGGCGCGAUGAUUUCCUCGGAAAGGUACCGGUAUGUGUGCGCCGGUAACAACUCGUCAAGCAGGCCAGCGCUACAGU